GGGGGGUUGGCCCGGGAAGGCCUGGGGCUCCCGUCUCCCGGCCUCGGACCCGGCGCUCAGUCUGCGCGGAGGAAGCCUGGCAGGGAGCUGCGGGCAGGAAGCGGGGCUGGGGGCGGCAGGGACACGCAGCUCCACGCCGGCGCCGCUCUGGGCCCCCUCCUCCUCCUCCUCCAUCGCUCCAUCCCAAAGCGGGUCGCCGUGAGCCUUGCUCGAUUCUCUCUCUCUCUAAACACGUUCUGUCAGGGACUCGUCUCUGGCUCUGCAAACCGUGAGCUAAAGGGGCUGAUCGGGGAGGCGCGGGGGUUUCUCUCCUGGCAGAAGGAAGGAAAGGGCUUGGACUGGAAUGGACGGCCCUUGCGGGAGCCCAGGCUUCGGUGCUUCUGGAGGUGGCAGGGAGGAGGAGGAAGAGGAGGUCUGGGCAAGCGGGACGAGCCUGGGCCCCUGGUUUUUCUCCUGUGAAGUGAUGUCAGACACCAGCAAAUAAAUCAUGCUUUGACCAGAAAUGUUGUAAUAAAGUGCUGUGAAAGAUGUGAAUCCUGUUCUUGGCAAGAAAAACACAAAGAAAGAUUUCCACAGGAAAACUAGUAUUUUCUUAUGUUUAUUGUCGUAAAAAGGAUGGAGUUAUGUAGUGUGUGUGUUUUAAGUUGCCUGUCAAGUUAGGACAGCUACAUAAAUUAAAUAAGAACCAGGUGGUUUGAAUCCUGGAGUCUGCUUCUGGAAACCAGGAUUCAAAUUUUCAUUCAGCCAAGGAAACUCACUGGGUGACAUUGGGUUCAAAUUCGGUGGGCGGGAUGAGUUCCCAUCUGUCAGCUCCAGCUUCCCAUACAGGGACAUGAGAGAAGCCUCCCACAGGAUGGUAAAACAUCUGGGUGUCCCCUGGGCAAUGUCCUUGCAGACAGCCAAUUCUCUCACACGAGAAGCAAGUUGCAGUUUCUCAAGUCGCUCCUGACACACAAAAACAUUGGGCAGGACACAGUCUCUCAGCCUCAGAGAGGGCAAAGGCAACCUUCCUCUGAAUAAAUCUUGCAAAUAAUAACUCUUGGUGGGUUAAUUUUCUGUCUCCAUAAGUCAGAAAUGCCUUGAACACACAGAAUAAAAAUGAAAGCAUGCCAUAUAACCCAGAAUAUCAAGGCAGAAAAAUCCCCCAAUAUCUGCUUUGAACGGGGUUAUCUGAGUCCACACUACCAUAUAUCCUAGUUCAAAGCAGAUCAUGUGGGAUUUUAUUCAGCUGUGUGGAAGGGGCCUAAGAGGUGGUUUUGCCAGUUUGAAAUAAGGCCUCCAGCCCCUGGCAUUCAUUGGCAGUCUCCCAUCUAAGUGCUCAUAUAUGACAUUUUAACAGAGCUUUUUCCCAGGACAAGUGAAUGAAGGGAGUAUUCACCCCCCCCCCCCUUUACUAGGAAAUGUAUCAACAUUGUAUUUGGAAAUUUACCAAAUGCUUUUGUCUACAAUAUAAUCCAGUAUGCUUAUAGCUGGUUACUGUUACAUUAACAUUUUUCUUCUGCUGUCCUAAUCAGAUAUACACAAUUGUGACAUUUUUAAUACUUUGCAACAUUUUAAAGGACUUAUUUAUUACAUGGAUGAAGAUGGAUGAAGCAUGCCUUAAAAAUAAAGGAAUAGAAGGGGGAGGUAAAAAAAACAUUUAACACAAUAAGAAAUGAUGAUACACUUUCUGUGGAAGCUAUUUGUGAAUCUGGCAUUGCUGUGUCCAAAAUGAAAAAUGUUUUCUGGGCUUGUGCGCAAUAAAGAUUUAUUUGGCAAAUAUGGUGUGAUAUCAUCUGCAAAGGACCCUUCAACAUGGAUCCUUUAUCUUGAAGGGAGAGGGGAGAAUCAGCUUCGUGGUGGCUGAAUGAUACAUGGAUUUGGGUUAACACAGUUCAAAAACAUCAACAAAAGUUGUUUCCCUGCAUUUUGGGUGACUAAAUAGUUCUGUCACUUCCUAUUCAGGACUUGGCUGUGGCUGCUUACAGGGCCAUCCCACUUUCCCUGGGCUCAGGCAGCCUAGGGAUAGGGGACAGCACUUACCUUGUCCCAUUGUUUUUGAGUGGUAUCCACCAGACACAAAGAUGGCAUUUCAUCACUUGGCACCUAGAGUGAUGUUAUCUGGAAUGAUAAGGUGAUCAGAGAAGGAAAGAAUGAAAGGAGGGGGUGAUUCUUUCGGUCCCCUGUUCUCCUUGCAUUGCUUUGCCAAUCUGGGUAUCAUUGCUACAGGUGCCAAGCACUGUUCAGUGUCAUUUUCAUGCCCAGCUGGCAGUGCAUAGCACAGAACAAUGUGCACAAGAUAAGGAUGAUGGUCCGGUAGGAAUGAACAAGGUCUGCACUGCUUCACCAUGUAGCCACCAGGCUGCCUCAGAAAGGUGCAGUGCCUGAACCAAGUCCAUGGCUAGCUAUGUGGAUUAAAAUGAUGCUGAUGCAGAGUAUCCCACUCCAGUUCAGUAUCACCAUAAAUGCAGUCUUAGUAAUGAAUCCAGAAUUAAUUAAACCCACUAGAUAAGUUUUUACAAAUCUACCUAACUUUACCUCUGAGUAAGGUAAAGGAGAUCCCCCAUCUGAACGAAUUCUGUAAAAAAAAACCCCGUGGUCGAUUUUCCUUAUAAUCUGAAGUGAUGUGAAGACACAGAACAACAAUAUGAGUGAAUACAGAGCAGUCACAGAACCAUAACUCUAGGUUACAAAUGCAUAAGUACAAUACAGAAUGCCAGUCCGAAUUUGCACAAUUUCAUAACCAUUGGCUGCACACAGCUAAUGGAUGUUCUAAACUUUUCUAGUCUCAAAUUAUGGGCACAAAAAAGUAUCCUGGUCCAGAGUAUUAUGUUCCGUAUGUGAGAGAGAGUGGUUUUCGAGCACAGGAGAGGUUGCAGAUUUGAGAGAUGCUUGAUAGCUACUAGCACAGACUUGAAUUGAGGAGGCUUCCAAGAAUAUGUUCAUAACAACUGGCCAAAAUACAAUGUGCAGUUAUUCUAUCUCUUCCCUCCUUAAUAUAAAUACUUUUCUGUUGUAAGACAAAAAUGGAAAAUGAUGUGGGAAAACAGGAGGGCUGUUAAUGGGUUAUUUGGAUCCCCCUACCUGGUGAAAUGUUAUGAAUGAUGAACCAGGAUUGUGCAAUUUAGAAAUUAAAAAAUUCUCUGGAACCACCUUUGGGCUACAUGCAUAUUUUCUGACUCACUGCUGUAACUUCUUUUGUAGUAAAAUAAACAUGAGGAAAACAUGAUAUAACAAUGGACAGUACGUUGUACAUGAAAUCAAAAUGCAAGGAGGAAUAUAUUUCAUAUAUAGUGACAACAUGUGGAGUCUAUAAUCAGAUUGGCAUGAUUUUUGAACAGGGGGCAUAUCAAACCGUUGUGCUCCAAAUGCAAAAGGGUUAGAAUCUCUGAGGAUGUAGGGAGAUGAAUGUUUGGCAGAAUCGGUUAUCUCUACGGAGGUAAGUAUUCAAAGCUGAAGCAAAUUAGAUGUAC
rnacentral:lncRNA from 11 species